UACGGGGGGGGCAAGCGUUGUCGGAAUUACUGGGCGUAAAGGGCUCGUAGGUGGCCAACUAAGUCAGACGUGAAAUCCCUCGGCUUAACCGGGGGAACUGCGUCUGAUACUGGAUGGCUUGAGUUUGGGAGAGGGACGCGGAAUUCCAGGUGUAGCGGUGAAAUGCGUAGAUAUCUGGAGGAACACCGGUGGCGAAGGCGGCGUCCUGGACCAACACUGACACUGAUGAGCGAAAGCCAGGGGAGCAAACGGG
rnacentral:rRNA from 1 species